rnacentral:misc_RNA from 1 species
GCCCAGACACAAUGAACCUACAAGAAGAAAGGGCAAUUGUUAUCAGAGAUCUUUUUGUCAUAAGUACAAGUAUUUACAUAAAAGCAAAUGAACAAAACUCAUGUUUCUUUCAGGAAAAACAAAAACAGCAAGUACAAGCGAAAUAAAAUUUAAGUUGCAAAUUUCCCGGGGAAUACAAUUAACUGCUUCAACUAAAUGUAUGCCAGUAUCUGGAGGCACUAGGGACACUUCAGGAUGAUCCAUUCAAGAGAAUGAAUGUACACAAAAUUGCUUAUUGCCAAAUGUUCA